rnacentral:lncRNA from 1 species
UUGGGGGUGAGGAACAUGGCACCUCGGGGAAAGGGCCAAGCAGUAGAGCAGUUGUUACAUAUAGUUUCCCUCCCUCCGAGGCUGUUUAAACACACCCCUGCACUCAUCUGCAAUCCAGCAAAGGAGGAGAAUGAAGCUUGGAAUAGAACAUCAAACAAGACACAGUCUGCCAAGAUCAGCCAGUGGCAGGAAGGAAGAGCGUCCCCGGACAACUCGCACUAUGCCUGCCUUGCUUUACAGCCCAUGAGUUCCACAGGGCUAGCCUGCUCUACAGCUAGAGUCCCCGUUAUCCUGAGCUUCCUGGACUAGUCCUGACAAUACGGCAGAAAAGCCUGGUACUGUGCCAAGCAACGGGGACGCAGCACUGAGCAAUGGAGAGGCGGCGCCGGGCAAUAGAGACGCAGUGGAGAGCAGACAGGCAUCUCUGUGCACAGCCCAGAGUGGGAAACAGACAGGUAAACAGGCAAUUACAAUACCGGUGAUAAGCACUGUGGUGGCGGACAUGCCGCUUCCCUCUUCAUAAAGAAAGCCAUGCCAGCCUACGCAGACGUUGGAGUUACACAUAAUUUCCUUUCUCCCAAGCCUAUAUGUAAUAAUAGUCCCGUGUGAAAUGUUUCUGUUCUUUAUAAUGGUACCUAUUAUUUCCAUUAGUAUAAAUAACACAAGCAAGGCACCUAGCGCAUAGGCAGGGCUCAAUCAGCAGUCAUUGUUAAGGUGGGCUCCUGACCUGGCACUAUCUCUUGCUUUGGGGCUCAUUUUUCUCUGCAGUAAAUUAGGAAUCAUAACAGCUAUUCUAUAGGUUCAUUGUGAAGAUCACAUGAAUGGUAUAUGUGAAGACAUUGUGUAAGCUGGAGGGAAUUAUAUUAAAGAAUUUCAC